AUACUGCAUUAUUCAGCCAAUCAACUUGCGCAGCACUAUGGCCAGCAAGCUGUUACAUCCCAGUCUUCACAGGGUGAAGGUUCAAAAUCUCCAAAUGCUGAGCAAUCUGCUUCUCCUUCCGACUCGAGACUUCAGCAGACUCCAUCGACUCAAUGAGCCUAUCCGGGUCUGCAUAUUAUGGAAAAUCUAACUCAAUUAGUUUCUUUAAUUCAUUCGAUCUUAUUUCUUUCCAAUUUGACUGAAGGAAAAAGCCAGAAACCAACUGACAACUUUCCAUUAGGAUCAAAAUUCAUCCAAAUGGUACAUCAACCUGCAUAUAUAUCACAGUUAUUCGACAUGAAGAUUAAGUAGUUACAUCAGUGGGCUCAGACUUAAUGUGCAUCUUCUGCUCCAUUAUCAUGCAAGAGUCUGAAGCAGUUUCUUACUGGUCCAUGUAUCAUGCAAGUGUUUAUCAAUCUAUCUUCAUAACAUUUUGAUCCCCAGAGUAUAAAUUUCUUUUUGGUGUCAUGUUUGCAAAAUAUCUCUUGGGUUUUUGUAGGUGUACGUUGAGGAUGUUUACUGUGAAGACAUACUUGCUCAUGUUAUUAUGCCAAUAAUUUUUAUUAUUUGAAAAUGUACAUG